rnacentral:rRNA from 1 species
AGCGAACGCUGGCGGCAGGCCUAACACAUGCAAGUCGAACGAACUCUUCGGAGUUAGUGGCGGACGGGUGAGUAACACGUGGGAACGUGCCUUUAGGUUCGGAAUAACUCAGGGAAACUUGUGCUAAUACCGAAUGUGCCCUUCGGGGGAAAGAUUUAUCGCCUUUAGAGCGGCCCGCGUCUGAUUAGCUAGUUGGUGAGGUAAAGGCUCACCAAGGCGACGAUCAGUAGCUGGUCUGAGAGGAUGAUCAGCCACAUUGGGACUGAGACACGGCCCAAACUCCUACGGGAGGCAGCAGUGGGGAAUCUUGCGCAAUGGGCGAAAGCCUGACGCAGCCAUGCCGCGCGAAUGAUGAAGGUCUUAGGAUUGUAAAAUUCUUUCACCGGGGACGAUAAUGACGGUACCCGGAGAAGAAGCCCCGGCUAACUUCGU